GCAGUCAUGGCGGAAUUGGCAGACGCGCACGGUUCAGGUCCGUGUGCUCGCAAGGGCGUGGAGGUUCGAGUCCUCUUGGCUGCACCA
rnacentral:tRNA from 1 species